CUGUAAGCUAAUUACCAAAGUUUUCUGCAUGCAGAUGCAGGCUAGCUAGCUAGCUUGUGUUCGUGGAUCGAUCCCUACCUAAUUAAUUAUCUUGAUAUAUAUAUAGCCUAGCCAGGGAGAUAUAUAAGAGAGAAAUAUAAUGGUGGGAACUGGUUUGGUUGUCGACUUCUCUACACAACACUGGCCCGUAACAAUGAAGUGGAUUGAGGACAAGAUCAAAGAAGAUCGAGAUCAGCUCGGUGGCAUUCUCCACAUUAUUGAAGUAAGGAAGAACAAUGAUCGGGACCUCAUCAAACGUUACAAUGAAUUUGAGAGAAUGGGGGAACUUAGUGACCAACAGCUCUGGUCGGAGGUCGCACUACGCGCCUGGUCGUUUGCUAAAAAGGUAAAGUUCGUACGCAAAAUAUUUAUACCCUGCAUGCUUAUGCAUCUUACAUUAUUUUUUGUUCCGUCGGGUUUCGUCAUCAAGAUAACGAAGUGUGUGUUUGCGGGAGAUUGUGAAGGAAAUUGGUAUUAUAUACUCCCUCCGUUUCUAAAUAUUUGACACCGUUAGC
rnacentral:lncRNA from 1 species